rnacentral:rRNA from 1 species
AUUGAACGCUGGCGGCAGGCCUAACACAUGCAAGUCGAACGAGUGGCGGACGGGUGAGUAAUGUCUGGGAAACUGCCUGAUGGAGGGGGCUAACUACUGGAAACGGUAGCUAAUACCGCAUACCAUCGGAUGUGCCCAGAUGGGAUUAGCUAGUGGGUGGGGUAAAGGCUCACCUAGGCGACGAUCCCUAGCUGGUCUGAGAGGAUGACCAGCCACACUGGGACUGAGACACGGUCCAUACUCCUACGGGAGGCAGCAGUGGGGAAUAUUGCGCAAUGGGCGCAAGCCUGAUGCAGCCAUGCCGCGUGUAUGAAGAAGGCCUUCGGGUUGUAAAGUACUUUCAUCGGGGAGGCGGUACCCGCAGAAGAAGCACCGGCUAACUCCGUGCCAGCCGCCGCGGUAAUAC